AACAUGCCUAUCGGUACGGAAUAGCCCCGGGAAACUGGGAAUAAUACCGUAUACGUCCUAUGGGAGAAAGAUUUAUCGCCGAUAGAUUGGCCCGCGUUAGAUUAGCUUGUUGGUGAGGUAAUGGCUCACCAAGGCGACGAUCUAUAGCUGGUUUGAGAGGAUGAUCAGCCACACUGGGACUGAGACACGGCCCAGACUCCUACGGGAGGCAGCAGUGGGGAAUCUUAGACAAUGGGCGCAAGCCUGAUCUAGCCAUUCCGCGUGAAUGAUGAAGGCCUUAGGGUUGUAAAAUUCUUUCAGCUGGGAAGAUAAUGACUGUACCAGCAGAAGAAGCCCCGGCUAACUCCGUGCCAGCAGCCGCGGUAAUACGGAGGGGGCUAGCGUUGUUCGGAAUUACUGGGCGUAAAGCGCACGUAGGCGGAUUAUCAAGUUGGGGGUGAAAUCCCGGGGCUCAACCUCGGAACGGCCUCCAAAACUGAUAGUCUAGAAUCCAGGAGAGGUGUGUGGAAUUCCGAGUGUAGAGGUGAAAUUCGUAGAUAUUCGGAGGAACACCAGAGGCGAAGGCGACACACUGGACUGGUAUUGACGCUGAGGUGCGAAAGCGUGGGGA
rnacentral:rRNA from 1 species